rnacentral:rRNA from 1 species
UACAGAGGUCCCAAGCGUUGUUCGGAUUCAUUGGGCGUAAAGGGUGCGUAGGCGGCGCGGUAAGUCGGGUGUGAAAUCUCGGAGCUUAACUCCGAAACUGCAUUCGAUACUGCCGUGCUUGAGGACUGGAGAGGAGACUGGAAUUUACGGUGUAGCGGUGAAAUGCGUAGAUAUCGUAAGGAAGACCAGUGGCGAAGGCGGGUCUCUGGGCAUGUCCUGACGCUGAGGAGCGAAAGUGUGGGGAGCGAACAGG